GAAAACCUGUGAGCGUGAAAGCGCCUUACUGCCUGCCUGCGAGCAAGAGAUGUGACUGGAUUCUUAAGCAGCUGGGGCGAGGAGUAAGGCCCGCCACACGCACACACGCACGCACGGCUCAUAUCUCAAGCUGGAGCUGCGUGCGCCUCUGCUAGCAGUGCGCCAAGAGAGGCCUCCGCUGACAGUGCACCCAGACAGUGCAGCACGCCCAAGCAGCAACAAGCCUGCAGCCUGUCAAGAAUCAACACACCUGGAUUUGAUGAGAGGGAGCAGCAUAAAAACCAACAGACCCGAGGAACCUUUGCCAAAACGUCGCUAUCUUCUCAUGACUCCCCUGUCUUCCGUGAUCCUACCUUGCCUCUCGACAUCCAUCCGGAUUCCUAACUGCCUUCCUCGAUCCACGACCUCUCUGUUCAGACCCAGACCAUGUGGCCUCGCUCCUGCCCCCGACAUCUUGCCUGCUCACGAACUGCCUCUUCGCCUUGCCCCUCUGGAUUUGACGAAGGAUACAACCAACACUCAUAGACAACAAACCCUGGUAACAUUUACAUUAUUAAUAUUACACAUAGUCAUCACUCAUUCACUUAGAGCGGCAUACACACGCCACGUAUCAUCAAAGGUUUAAAUAAACCUUGUGAACCGCA